UACGAAGGGGGCUAGCGUUGUUCGGAAUCACUGGGCGUAAAGCGCACUUAGGCGGACUUCUAAGUCAGGGGUGAAAUCCCGGGGCUCAACCUCGGAACUGCCUUUGAUACUGGAAGUCUCGAGUCCGAGAGAGGUGAGUGGAACUCCUAGUGUAGAGGUGAAAUUCGUAGAUAUUAGGAAGAACACCAGUGGCGAAGGCGGCUCACGGGCGCGGUAAUGACGAUGAGGUGCGAAAGCGUGGGGAGCAAACAGG
rnacentral:rRNA from 1 species